rnacentral:rRNA from 1 species
GCCAGUCCAAGGCCCAACCUUGGAAUGUCCUUCAAAACCCCUAUACUAGAGUAUGGAUCACGAGAGUGGAAUGCCAUGUGGAGCGGUUAAAUGCGUAGAUAUAUGGAGGAAGACCAAAGGCGAAGGCAACUCUCUGGGCCAAAACUGACGCUGAGAAGCGAAAGCGUGGGUAGCAAAUGGGAUUAGAUACCCCACUAGUCCACGCCGUCAACGAUGAGUG